GGUGUAACUCAGUGGUAGAGCAUGUGCUUUGCAUGCAGAAGGCCCUGAGUUCAAUCCCCAGGAUCA
rnacentral:tRNA from 1 species